UCACAGAUAUGAAGCCUGAUUCCAAGAAGAAAAAGUAUCCCGUAAAACCACCCUCUAUGUCUCAAGAAGUCAAUUAAUUAAGAGGCUGUUAUCGCCAGGCAGUUGACAAGAAAUGAAGGGAUGCUCCUGGACCUGCGUGGCCGCCCAGAGCAAGCCAGUAACCACCAGAUUGAUCCAGUUUUUCAGUGUUUGCUAGAAAAGAGGCAGAACAAAAAUGAAUGUGACCUUGACCCUGACCCUGUCCCUGACCCUGACCCUGAAAAGCCACGACGGAAAUCGGUAACAUUUAGUUCAUACCUUCCUACUAGAAGGUCAGUUAUGGAGUCAGUUAUGGAGUCCGAGGGAAGGUACAAUGAGGGAAAUGAAAAUGACACGGAAUCAGAAGAUUCAUUAGAUAGAUAUUACGUACGAGAGGAUGGUGAUAAUCUUAGGGAAAAAGUGGAUACAGAAUCGGAGAGUUCCGAAGAAGAGGUUGAAUCUAGUGACGAGACUGAAUCCGGAGAAAACGUGUCACACAAUUUUAAAGAAGAAUCUGCAACUGACCUGCAAAAUAGGCAACAGUAUAAACAGCCAAAAAGCCAAACAAAAGACACUACACGUUUCUAUGGAACAACCCAAUAUUGGACUGCCAGAUAAGCAACAGUAUAGUUGCCUACAAGAACCUAACAUUGCACUGCCAGAUAAGCAACAGUAUAGUUACCCACAAGGACCUAAUAUUGGACUGCAAUAUAAGCAGCUAUAUAAUUACAAGCAAGAGCCCAAUAUUACAUUAUACGCUUGCAGCCAAGAAUCUGAUAGAAGUAGCCAAAAUAAGGUAUUAUACAAUAAUAGACAAAACGCCAAUAUUAGACUGAAAAAUGCAUAUGCAUAUAAGACCUUGCAAAGGAACUACACGGAGCCCUACAUUGCGACCAAUGGCAAAAUAUACAGGUGCUGGGAGGAAGUUGACACCGAGCCACAAGAGAGAAAAUUGUCUCCUUACAAAGAGAUAAAUGACAUUGCACCCAGAUCUAAAGGCCGAACAUUUUUAAAGAAAUUUAAUCCAUGCUUCAUGAAACCUUGUGUGCUGGACUAAAGUGUAGACAGCAGACGUGUGUGCAGGGGGAGCAUUUUGGGGAUCCAACCCCAUCCCUGCUCAAGCAAUGUUUUUUAAAUACAUUUUCCAGGGGAGCAUGUUUCGCCCCUCCCCCCCCCCCCCCCCACCCACCCCCCAUUAGCUCGCCAGUCUACACGCCCCUGCUAAGAUUCCUGCAGAUGCGCUUGAACCGAAUCAGCUUAGUGUCAGCAGACCAUAAUUUGACAGCAAAUGGAAAACAUUUUACAAGAACGGCUUCCAGUCGACAUAUAAUAGGACUAUAUUGCAGGAAGUUUGAUUCCCUCUGAAAAGUGACACUACCUCUCACACAUUUUGUGUAAAGAAAUUUUAAAGGUUUCUGUUCACUACGUGUUAACAACAUGUCCGCCAGACACUACCUCUCACAAGUUUCGCAUAGAGAAACCUUCAUGUUUUUGUGUUCACUGUGUGUUCACAACACGUUCGUGAAACACCACCUCUUGCGCGGUUCGCGUAGAGAAAUCUUAAAUGUUUUUGUGCUCACUACCUGUUCACAACACGUCAGUGAGGCACUACCUCUCACACGCGUAGAGAAAUCUUUAAAGUUUUUCUUUUCAUAUACGUGUUCACAACACAUCGAGACACUACCUCUCACACGUUUCGCAUAGAGAAUUUUUUUUUUUUUUAAAUUGUUACAUACAUUUUCACAACACGUCCGCGAGACACUACCACUCCCACAUUUUGCGUAGAGAAACCUUCAACGUUUUUGUGUUCACUGCGUGUUUUUUGUUGUUAUUCAUAACACGUCCGUGAGAAACUACUUUUCACGUAGAGAAAUCUUAAACGUUUUUGUACUGAUGUGUUCACAGCACAUCGAGACACUACCUCUCACACCUUUUGCGUAGAGAAAUCUUAAACGUUUUUGUACUGAUGUGUUCACAGCACAUCGAGACACUACCUCUCACACCUUUUGCGUAGAGAAAUCUUAAAAGGUUUUGUACUGAUGUGUUCACAGCACAUCGAGACACUACCUCUCACACCUUUUGCGUAGAGAAAUCUUAAAAGGUUUUGUGUUGACAACAUGUCCGCAAAAGAUUACCUCUCACAGGUCUCAUGUAGAGAAAUCUUCAACAUUUUUGUUUUGUUUUGUUCACUACGUGUUCACAACAUGUCUGCGAGACACUACCUUUCACACGUUUAGCGUAGAGAAACCUUCAACGUUUUUAUGUUCACUGUGUUCACAACACCUCUACUAGACGCUAUCUCUCACAUGUUUCCCGUAGAGAAAUCUUAAUUUGUUUUGUGUUCAGUACAUGUUCACAACACAUCCGUGAGACACUACCUUUCACGUUUUGCAUAGAGAAAUCUUCAACUUUUUCGUGUUCACAACGCCUCCACAAGACACUCACUACCUGUCAUACGUUUCACAUAGAGAAAAUUUAAAAAGCAAACAUUUGUUCACUUUGUGUUCACAACACGUCUGUGAGACACUGCGUCUCACCCGUUUCGCGUAGAGAAAUCUUAAAUAUUUUUGUGUUCACUACAUGUUCACAACACGUCCACGAGACACUACCUCUCACAUGUUUCGUAUAGAGAAAUCUUGAACGUUUUUUUUUUUUUUUGUUCAUUACAUGUUCACAACAUUUCUGCGAAACACUACCUUUCACACAUUUCACUUAGUGAAAUCUUCAACAUUUUGUUUUUGUUAGUUCACUACGUGUUCACAACACGUCGAGACACUACCUCUCACACGUUUAGCAUAGAGAAAUGUUAAAUGUGUUUGUGUUCACUAUCUGUUCACAUCACAUCUGCGAGACACUACCUCUCACCCGUUUCGUAAGAGAAAUCUUAAAUGUUUUUGUGUUAACAAACACGUCCGCGAGACACUACCUCUCACACGUUUCGCACAGACAAACCUUCAACGUUUUUGUGUUCACUAUAUGUUCACAACACGUCCGCGAGACACUACUACUACAUGUACCUCUCACAUGUUUUGUAUAGAGAAAUCUUGAACUUUUUUCUUUCUCUUUUUUUAUUAUGCGUUAACACAUCCGCGAAACACUACCUCACACGUUUCGCAUAGAGAAAUCGUUUUGGGGGGUUCACUUCUUGUUCACAGCACAACUGGGAGAUACUACCUUUCACACAUUUCACAUAGAGAAAUCUUCAAAAUGUGUUGGGUUUUUUUUUAGUUCACUUCUUGUUCACAACACGUCUGUGAGACACUACCUUUCACACAUUUCACAUAAAGAAAUCGUCAACAAUAUUUUUUUUUGUUAGUUCACUACCUGUUCACCACACGUCGAGACACUACCUCUCACACGUUUAGCAUACUGAAAUGUUAAAUGUUUUUGUGUUCCCCAGCAAACAAAAUAAAAUGUCAAUAAAAACAUUAUAUAAAUGUUUUA